rnacentral:rRNA from 1 species
UCUUUUGGAUUGGUCCUUGCAUAUGUUCCUUGGAACAGGACAUCAUAGAGGGUGAGAAUCCCGUUCAUGGUGGGGAAUCCAAUUCUUUGUAAAGUGCUUUCGAAGAGUCGAGUUGUUUGGGAAUGCAGCUCUAAGUGGGUGGUAAAUUCCAUCUAAAGCUAAAUAUUGGCGAGAGACCGAUAGCGAACAAGUACAGUGAUGGAAAGAUGAAAAGAACUCCGAAAGGAGAGUGAAAAAGGACGUGAAAUUGUUGAAAGGGAAGUGCUUGAGAUCAGUCUUAAGGUUUAGUGAUCAGUCUUCCUUUUGGUUGGUGCACUCACUAUUUCUUAGGCCAACAUCAGUUUUCGCGGCAGGAUAAUGACAUUGGAAUGUGGCUCUUUCGGGAGUGUUAUAGCCUUUGUUGAUACUGCCUGCUUAGACUGAGGACCGCGCUUUUGCUAGGAUGUUGGCAUAAUGAUCUUAA